rnacentral:rRNA from 1 species
GAACGGGCAAGGAGCCGGGGUCGCCCGAUCGGACCCCGGACGUGAAGUCGACGAUGGUCGGUGGGCUGGUUUUGGUAAGCAGAACGGGCGAUUCGGGAUGAACCGGAAGCGGGGAGAAAGGGCCCGAGAUUGCGUCGACGCGGAUCCCGAAAAGGGCGUCGAUCCGUCGCGACAGCGGGACGGUGGUCAUGGAAGUCGAAAUCCGCUAAGAAGCGUGUAAAAACGUACCCGCCCAACGGAUCGGCCCCGAAAAUUGAUGGCGCUCGAACGCAACCCUCGAACCCCGCCGACGGAGGCUAGGGGAGGCCCCGUCGAGUAGGCGGACGCGCGGGUCGCUUCGACGCUCCCGCGCGAGCGGGGGCGGAGCGGCCCGUGGUGCAGAUCUUGGUGGUAGUAGCGAUCACCCAGGCGAGAACCCUGAGGGCCGAAGUGGAGAAGGGUUUCUCGAGAACGGCACUCGCUCGAGAGUUAGUCGAUCCUAAGCUGCCGGCGGCAGCCACGAAACGGUCGAUCGGGCGCGAGCCCGGCAGCCACGACCGGGCAGCGAAGGAUGGAC